rnacentral:rRNA from 1 species
AACGUAGGAGACAAACGUUAUCCGGAGUUACUGGGCGUAAAGCGUGCGUAGGCGGUUUGUUAAGUCUGUCGUGAAAGCCCCGGGCUCAACCUGGGAAUGGCGAUGGAUACUGGCGAGCUAGAGUACGGUAGAGGAGAGUGGAAUUCCCGGUGUAGCAGUGAAAUGCGUAGAGAUCGGGAGGAACAUCAGUGGCGAAGGCGGCUCGCUGGACCAGUACUGACGCUGAGGCACGAAAGCGUGGGGAGCAAACAGG